GACGUAGGAUGCAAGCGUUGUCCGGAUUUAUUGGGCGUAAAGAGUUCGUAGGCUGUUUGUUAAGUCUGAUGUUAAAGACUGGGGCUCAACCUCGGAAAUGCAUUGGAUACUGGCAGACUGGAGUGCAGUAGAGGCUAGUGGAAUUCCCAGUGUAGCGGUGAAAUGCGUAGAUAUUGGGAAGAACACCGGUGGCGAAGGCGGUGGUCUGGGCCGGCACUGACGCUGAGGAGCGAAAGCGUGGGGAGCGAACAGG
rnacentral:rRNA from 1 species